rfam:Desulfovibrionaceae bacterium CG1_02_65_16 cg1_0.2_scaffold_5249_c, whole genome shotgun sequence.
GGGGGCGCACCGGUUUCGACGGGGACUGUCGAUGCCGUGGUUGCAGGUCGAGGCGCCGCUGGCCUCGUAAAAAGCGGCAAGCACUCAAGUGCCAACGACUACGAUUACGCUCUGGCUGCUUAAUAACCAGUCACGAUCCUUCUGACUGACGUCCGAUACGUCUUGAGGAUCGACAAAAACCCAUCGGGACGGCGUGCAAAUGGCGUCCGCCGUAUGCACGCGGCACAAGGCGGACAUGUCGCUUUAUGCCUGAACAGGGGCGAAUGAAGCGACGAGAAUUGUACCUGUUCUAAACCUGUAGAUGCCACGCGCAAAGCGUUCUCGGACGAGGGUUCGAUUCCCUCCGCCUCCACCA